rnacentral:rRNA from 1 species
AUUGAACGCUGGCGGCAGGCCUAACACAUGCAAGUCGAGCGGCAGCACGGGUACUUGUACCUGGUGGCGAGCGGCGGACGGGUGAGUAAUGCCUAGGAAUCUGCCUGGUAGUGGGGGAUAACGCUCGGAAACGGACGCUAAUACCGCAUACGUCCUACGGGAGAAAGUAGGGGACCUUCGGGCCUUGCGCUAUCAGAUGA